UCCUACGGGAGGCAGCAGUGAGGAAUCUUGCGCAAUGGGCGAAAGCCUGACGCAGCCACGCCGCGUGCCGGAUGAAGGCCCUAUGGGUUGUAAACGGCUUUUAAGCAGGAAGAACGACCGGAUUUCGAUCUGGUGUGACGGUACUGCUUGAAUAAGCACCGGCUAACUCCGUGCCAGCAGCCGCGGUAAUACGGAGGGUGCAAGCGUUGUCCGGAAUCAUUGGGUGUAAAGGGUGCGUAGGCGGGCGUCUAAGUCUGGGGUGAAAUCUUGCCGCUUAACGGUAAAAUGGCCUUGGAUACUGGGCGUCUUGAGUGUAGAAGAGGUAAGUGGAAUUCGUAGUGUAGCGGUGAAAUGCAUAGAUAUUACGAAGAACAUCAGUGGCGAAGGCGGCUUACUGGUCUACAACUGACGCUGAGGCACGAAAGCGUGGGGAGCGAACAGGAUUAGAUACCCUGGUAGUCCACGCUGUAAACGAUGCAUACUAGGUGUUGGCCUUUCGGGGCCAGUGCUGCAGUUAACGCAUUAAGUAUGCCACCUGGGGAGUACGUCGGCAACGAUGAAACUCAAAGGAAUUGACGG
rnacentral:rRNA from 1 species